rnacentral:tRNA from 1 species
CGUGGCUUUGUGGUGAAGACGCCAGACUGAUAACCUGAAGGUCUCUA